UAAUAUUCCAGUAUUUCUGGUUCCGGUGAUGGGGAAGGGAUAGAUGUACGUAUGCGCACAUGGACAAACGUUUUGUUAUUUUUGGGUGUACAAGAAUAGUGUGUGCAUGCGUUAAUGAGUUUCAGUACCACACCUCUGGGCUGGUAAACCCCCUUGGCAUUUAAGAUUAUGAGGCUUAUUAAAUGUCUAAGUAGGGGGAGGCAUUUACAUUACCCUCUCUCUCCUCCUUCUCACCCAGUUCAGAUGGGUUCAUCAUGAUACCACCCAUUGAAUCGCGACGGAGUAGACUACACAUGAUGGUUCAGAAAGAAGAGGAGGACAUACAGAGAAGCUAGGUGGUGCUGUGAGGCCAGGGAGAGGCACCUGUUGGAGUUAAGCCAACCUAAACUGCAGAAACUGGUAUUCCAUCGUCACAUUUUAAACUGAGAAAAGAGGAGAUGGACUGGCAACGGAGACAGGCAGGGGAAAAGGAGUAUGAGAGGAUGAAGGCUAAACAGCAGGAGAACGCCAGAGAGUGUUAGCAAUGUACAAAUAAAUCACUUAUUUACUGUCA